AUCCCUGGCAGGGAAUCCUUUCCAAUCCCAUUCCCAUCGCAAAUGGGAUUCCCUGGAGCUGUUCCUGCUUAGAGCAGAGGGAAUUUUGGGGCAAAAUCAACGCGGGUGGGUGAUGCCCAAACCCAGGGAAGGGAAAAUUCCCUCACCCGGGAACGGGGAGCGGCUCUGCCCCAAAAUUCCAGCCAGGUUUAAUCCCAGCCUAAACCUCCGAGUCCCGAAUAUCCCUCAGGAUCCACCGGGAGCAGCUGCGGGGUGCAGGGAGGGGCUCGGGGGCUGUCCCUGCUGUCACCUCGCUGUCACAGCCCCCUCCCCGGGUCUGGAAUGAGGCAGGAACCCCCAAAAUCCGGGAGCAGCCGAAGCCGAGGGAAGCAGCGGGCUGUGCCUGAGCCGACAGUGCCACCUGCUGCCACCGCGCUGGGGACAGCGACAGGGACAGGGACGGGGACAGGGAUGGGACAGGGAGGGCGACAAGGACAGGGACGGGGACAGCGACAGGGACAGGGACGGGAUGGGGACAGGGAUGGGGACAAGGACAGGGACGGGGACAGCGACAGGGACGGGGACAGGGAUGGGACAGGGAUGGCGACAAGGACAGGGACGGGGAGAGGGCAGGGAUGGGGAGGAGAAAGGGACAGGGAUGGGGACAGGGACAGGGUUGGGACAGGGAUGGGGACAAGACAGGGAGAGGAACAAGGAUGGGACAGGGACAGGGAUGGGACAAGGACAGGGAGGUGACAAGGACAGGGACAAGGACAGGGAAGGGGACAGGACAUGGACAGGGAUGGGGACAGAACAUGACAGGGAUGGGACAGGGAUGGGGACAAGGACAGGGAGGUGACAGCACAGGGAGGUGACAGGACAGGGCCAGCUCCUCCUUCCCUUCCGCUGGGGUUCUCCCAAUUUCCCAGCAGGAGAUUUCUGUGGCCAAGGGGGCACGGCUCUGCAAAAAACCCCAAAAACUUCCCUAAAAAAACCCCUCAAGAAUCCUCACAACUGCUCCAAAAAACCCGAGGAGGUGACAAGGACAGGGACAAGGACAGGGAAGGGGACAGGACAUGGACAGGGAUGGGGACAGAACAUGACAGGGAUGGGACAGGGAUGGGGACAAGGACAGGGAGGUGACAGGACAGGGCCAGCUCCUCCUUCCCUUCCGCUGGGAUUCUCCCAAUUUCCCAGCAGGAGAUUUCUGUGGCCAAGGGGGCACGGCUCUGCAAAAAACCCCAAAAACUUCCCCAAAAAAACCCCUCAAGAAUCCUCACAACUGCUCCAAAAAACCCGAACCCCCCCACAAAAACACUUCAUAAUCCCCCUAAAAACUGGUGAGGUGACAACACCUCGAAAAUCCCCUCAUAAUCCCUAAAAAAACCUCCUCAAAAAACCCAAAACCCCCCAAAAAACUCCUCAGAAAACACAACUCCUCCCCAAAAUCUCCUCACAACCCCCCAAAAAUCCUGACAAACCUUAAAAUAAACCCCUCAUAACCCCCAAAAAAUCCCUUAAAAAUCCUUCGAAACCCCCUAAAAAACCCCUCAAAAAUCCACUCAAAACCCCAUCACAAACCCUUCAUAACCCCCCAAAAAACCCACUCAAAACCCUCCAAAAAUCCCCCUCAAAAAUCUCCUCACAAACCCCUCAUAACCCCCCAAAAAACUCCUCACAAACCCCCCCCCCCCCCCCCCCCCCCCCCCCCCCCCCCCCCCCCCCCCCCCCC
rnacentral:lncRNA from 12 species